CCUUACAGUUUAAGGCAGCAAGUCUUACAACAUACACAAGCUCACCUCCCUCAUGUUUGUGCUACUGUAUCCUUAUGCGCACAACAGAACCUCACUAAUUCACACUAAUGACUGGAAGAACCGUUAAUUCUCUUGAGGCAGAGGAGAACUUUGAAAGGAAACUGAUAAACAGGUUUCAGGAGCCAGACUUCCCUCGCUACCUGACAUGCAUUUGUUUGUUUGUUUUAGUAACACUGCUAGAACAAAGGGCAAAUUACCAGCGGUGAGUGCCUACGAGGAGCUAACAAUUACCCUCAGCACCAUAAAGGCACACGGAGUUUGGAAAAAGGGAGCUCUCAAAAUGACCGUCUGUCCUUGGCUACAUCACCGCUUUCAUAAUAUCACUCUCUGAGGAGCAAUUUGAAGGAGAAUCUCCAAGAAAGGGUAAAGAAAAAUAAAAAUUCUCAGGUGUGUCCUUAUAACUGAAAUGGACUAGCAAGAAAAACCUCUCAAAAAGACAUGACGAUCACAAUCCUGUCAGCUUCUCCAGCAGUGGGAUCCUCCCUCCCACGGCAUCCACUCCCAAAGCACACAGCUGGGGGCUGCAGGGCAGGCUGCAAGGAGCCAGCUCAGUGGGGACGUGGGCUGGGGAAGUACCCUCAGCAAAUUAUUUAUUUAGUAAAUGGGAAGAAAAGAAAAAAAAAGCUAUCUUAUUCACACAAACUGUUGCCAUAAUACGUGCUUUCCGAUAUGAAGUCACUAUUAAAACAGCAUAACUGAUGGUAAAAAUGUGAAAGGGUACAGGUGUCACAAUGUUAAGUGCACUAGCUGGAGUUAGUAUAUAAUUACAGACAUUUUAGUUGACCUGGCAUUUAACAAACAUUUCUGAAAGCCAUUUUUCUCCCAAUAAGAAUGAUUCGCUAGACUUUGGAGUGAGAAGCUGCUCAUGAAAAUCAAAGUUAAAUGGCAAAAAGAGUAGUUCAGGCCAAAUGUUACAACAUUUCUGGCAUCAUAAAUGGAUGCGUUUGGCUUUUACAGUCAUCCUUAUUCUAAGCAUCACCACUCCUAGAGUAAGCGGUGCCCCAAAUUCAGCCACUAGCAGUCACCAAACACUGCUGGCAAGCACAGGACGUGGUGAUUAUCUGCAUAACCAGACACUGAGGAUUUGAUGAGCUCUUCUUCAGACAUGCCAGCUGGGGGAAUUCUUAUCAACAGGAGUUAACAGCAGACAGAUUUUGCUCUUUCCAGGUAUUUAACACCAAGCGUCAUUGAGAUCUGUGGAUACAUUUUGCUUAAGACUGAACUUCACAGGUGGGCCCUGACGGCUGGCUUUGUUAAUCCAUCACUGCAUUAGCUAGUGGGAUGUGGAAGACUGUACUACAUCAUCACCUCAACCUCUUUUGGUUAACAAAUUGUUUCCUUCUCUCUCCCCAGAAAAGAGCAAGCACUGUAUCUAAUCCAACUUCUCAGAUCAAGUACAUCCAGAACCGUACGGGGCUAGAUCUACUCAGUGUAGAGAAACAGAACAAGGAGAAGAGAAGAACAGAGAGGCAAAGUGAAAGUUAAAACUACCCAACUACAUGGGUAAAAAAUAGAUGCUGUUCACUGAAGUGAAAUUGAAACUGGAAAAUGCAAGAGCUUCUUAAAUGUAAACCUACCUCUGAAGCUCACUUUCUACACUUAUUCACUUCAUCAUUUCAGAAUAGUUUUGUGUUUAUACGUACAAUCAAAACAAUAGGAAUAUUCAACAUAAAGUUUGUCAGCACAGGAAAAAAGUACGCUUGCCUAAUGAGAAUGGUUGUCCACGUCUACGUAACCUCAAACAGAUCUAGACAGGGUCCUCAGAGCUCUGGUCCUCGCCAGGACACCCACUGUGGCUGAAAAUUCUGCAUCUGGCCUCUGAGUUCCAAAUAACACACAUGUCAGAUCUGCUCCCUGACAAGGGGACACAAGUUACACAAGAUAUCCCAUUAGCACUGCAAGUAAUAAAACUAGCAGGAAGAAACUCCGCUCCUACAACUUGUGAAGCUUAAUGCAGGAUGCGGGGGCACAACAGAGAGGUGGUCACCAAGCUGCCUCACGGAGCCACACAGAAACAGGGGGAUGCGAUGGAGAGCUGCUGCAAUGCACUGUUCAGCAAGUCCCGUGUUACUCGGGUGGGCAGUCCUUACUGCUGGUAGCACAGAAGUACGUGGAUGGG